AACAAUGUUUCUUUCCAAAGACAUGAUUGGCCUUGCCAUACAGAUGUUCAUUUCGUAUUAGUGCGUACUUGACGUUUAUACUUAGCUAACACAUUGAAGUUGUUAUCUACAGAUACAAACUUUCGUAAGGCGCUUAACACCUUCGAUUUGAUGAAAGAUUUCAUUCAAAGAAUACACCCAAAAAAGUAUUGUGGCAUUAAAGGUGAUGGGGCUUAAUCUUCAUUCAGUCAAUUAUGAUGCUUCCUAUUGAAUACCUAUUUCGAAAUGGAAAAUAUCAAAGUGUGGAAACUGUGAAAAACAAUGACAUCGUUGAUCGUUCAAUUUAUCCAAAUCGGAAACAUUUCAGCAAGUACUUGUUUAUUUUAAAAGGAUUUAACUGGAUGUAUUCAAUAAUAUACAUGUUUCUCCAUGAAAUAUUUGUACGUACACCUAUUUACAGAAGCCUUUAGUUUGGAAGGAUGUGACGAGUAUUAUCAUAUAUUAUCUAAUUUAUCUUUUAAAACCAAAUCUCUUGUAAGUUUGAACUAAAAAUUGUGUUGUUCUGUAAAUUUGUACGUCCAAGAAACAAACAAUAAUAAUUGUUUUGGGUAAAAAUACAAUUACAAAACUGAUGUUUACUUAGAA